UACGUAGGGUGCGAGCGUUGUCCGGAAUUAUUGGGCGUAAAGAGCUCGUAGGCGGCUUGUCGCGUCGGAUGUGAAAGCCCGGGGCUUAACUCCGGGUCUGCAUUCGAUACGGGCAGGCUAGAGUUCGGUAGGGGAGAUCGGAAUUCCUGGUGUAGCGGUGAAAUGCGCAGAUAUCGGGAGGAACACCGGUGGCGAAGGCGGAUCUCUGGUCCGGUACUGACGCUGAGGAGCGAAAGCGUGGGGAGCGAACAGG
rnacentral:rRNA from 1 species